rnacentral:rRNA from 1 species
AACGAACGCUGGCGGCAUGCCUAACACAUGCAAGUCGAACGAGACCUUCGGGUCUAGUGGCGCACGGGUGCGUAACGCGUGGGAACCUGCCCUUAGGUUCGGAAUAACUCCCCGAAAGGGGUGCUAAUACCGGGUAAUGUCUUCGGACCAAAGAUUUAUCGCCUUUGGGUGGGCCCGCGUUGGUUUAGCUUGUUGGUAGGGUAAAAGCCUACCAAGGCGGCGAUCCAUAGCUGGUCUGAGAGGAUGGUCAGCCACACUGGGACUGGGACACGGCCCAGACUCCGACGGGAGGCAGCAGUGCGGAAUAAUGGACAAUGGGCGAAAGCAUAAGCCAGCAAGGUCGCGUGGGUGAUGUAGGGGGUAGGGUAGGAAAGAGCUUAUAACCGCGAUGAUCAUGAGAGACCCGAAAGAAUAAGCCCGGGUAAACUCCUU